rnacentral:rRNA from 1 species
UUGGAGGGCAAGUCUGGUGCCAGCAGCCGCGGUAAUUCCAGCUCCAAUAGCGUAUAUUAAAGUUGUUGCAGUUAAAAAGCUCGUAGUUGAAUUUCGGGAUUAGUACGUCGGUCGUGCCUUAGGUACGUACUGGUGUUACUGGUUCCUACCUUCUGACGAACCAUCAUGUCAUUAAUUUGGUGUGGUGGGGAAUCAGGACUGUUACUUUGAAAAAAUUAGAGUGUUUAAAGCAGGCUCGCGCUUGAAUACAUUAGCAUGGAAUAAUGAAAUAGGACGUUGAUCCUAUUUUGUUGGUUUCUAGGAUUGACGUAAUGAUUAAUAGGGAUAGUUGGGGGCAUUAGUAUUCAAUUGUCAGAGGUGAAAUUCUUGGAUUUAUUGAAGACUAACUACUGCGAAAGCAUUUGCCAAGGAUGUUUUCAUUAAUCAAGAACGAAAGUUAGGGGAUCGAAGGCGAUCAGAUACCGUCGUAGUCUUAACCAUAAACUAUGCCGACUAGGGAUCGGAUGAUGUUAUUUUUAAUGACUCAUUCGGCACCUUACGGGAAAC